rnacentral:rRNA from 1 species
UUUUGUAUAAUGGGUCAGCGACUUAUAUUCUGUAGCAAGGUUAACCGAAUAGGGGAGCCGAAGGGAAACCGAGUCUUAACUGGGCGUUAAGUUGCAGGGUAUAGACCCGAAACCCGGUGAUCUAGCCAUGGGCAGGUUGAAGGUUGGGUAACACUAACUGGAGGACCGAACCGACUAAUGUUGAAAAAUUAGCGGAUGACUUGUGGCUGGGGGUGAAAGGCCAAUCAAACCGGGAGAUAGCUGGUUCUCCCCGAAAGCUAUUUAGGUAGCGCCUCGUGAAUUCAUCUCCGGGGGUAGAGCACUGUUUCGGCAAGGGGGUCAUCCCGACUUACCAACCCGAUGCAAACUGCGAAUACCGGAGAAUGUUAUCACGGGAGACACACGGCGGGUGCUAACGUCCGUCGUGAAGAGGGAAACAACCCAGACCGCCAGCUAAGGUCCCAAAGUCAUGGUUAAGUGGGAAACGAUGUGGGAAGGCCCAGACAGCCAGGAUGUUGGCUUAGAAGCAGCCAUCAUUUAAAGAAAGCGUAAUAGCUCACUGGUCGAGUCGGCCUGCGCGGAAGAUGUAACGGGGCUAAACCAUGCACCGAAGCUGCGGCAGCGACGCUUAUGCGUUGUUGGGUAGGGGAGCGUUCUGUAAGCCUGCGAAGGUGUGCUGUGAGGUAUGCUGGAGGUAUCAGAAGUGCGAAUGCUGACAUAAGUAACGAUAAAGCGGGUGAAAAGCCCGCUCGCCGGAAGACCAAGGGUUCCUGUCCAACGUUAAUCGGGGCAGGGUGAGUCGACCCCUAAGGCGAGGCCGAAAGGCGUAGUCGAUGGGAAACAGGUUAAUAUUCCUGUACUUGGUGUUACUGCGAAGGGGGGACGGAGAAGGCUAUGUUGGCCGGGCGACGGUUGUCCCGGUUUAAGCGUGUAGGCUGAUUUUCCAGGCAAAUCCGGAAAAUCAAGGCUGAGGCGUGAUGACGAGGCACUACGGUGCUGAAGCAACAAAUGCCCUGCUUCCAGGAAAAGCCUCUAAGCAUCAGGUAACAUCAAAUCGUACCCCAAACCGACACAGGUGGUCAGGUAGAGAAUACCAAGGCGCUUGAGAGAACUCGGGUGAAGGAACUAGGCAAAAUGGUGCCGUAACUUCGGGAGAAGGCACGCUGAUAUGUAGGUGAAGCGACUUGCUCGUGGAGCUGAAAUCAGUCGAAGAUACCAGCUGGCUGCAACUGUUUAUUAAAAACACAGCACUGUGCAAACACGAAAGUGGACGUAUACGGUGUGACGCCUGCCCGGUGCCGGAAGGUUAAUUGAUGGGGUUAGCGGUAACGCGAAGCUCUUGAUCGAAGCCCCGGUAAACGGCGGCCGUAACUAUAACGGUCCUAAGGUAGCGAAAUUCCUUGUCGGGUAAGUUCCGACCUGCACGAAUGGCGUAAUGAUGGCCAGGCUGUCUCCACCCGAGACUCAGUGAAAUUGAACUCGCUGUGAAGAUGCAGUGUACCCGCGGCAAGACGGAAAGACCCCGUGAACCUUUACUAUAGCUUGACACUGAACAUUGAGCCUUGAUGUGUAGGAUAGGUGGGAGGCUUUGAAGUGUGGACGCCAGUCUGCAUGGAGCCGGCCUUGAAAUACCACCCUUUAAUGUUUGAUGUUCUAACGUUGGCCCCUGAUCGGGGUUGCGGACAGUGUCUGGUGGGUAGUUUGACUGGGGCGGUCUCCUCCUAAAGAGUAACGGAGGAGCACGAAGGUUGGCUAAUCCUGGUCGGACAUCAGGAGGUUAGUGCAAUGGCAUAAGCCAGCUUGACUGCGAGCGUGACGGCGCGAGCAGGUGCGAAAGCAGGUCAUAGUGAUCCGGUGGUUCUGAAUGGAAGGGCCAUCGCUCAACGGAUAAAAGGUACUCCGGGGAUAACAGGCUGAUACCGCCCAAGAGUUCAUAUCGACGGCGGUGUUUGGCACCUCGAUGUCGGCUCAUCACAUCCUGGGGCUGAAGUAGGUCCCAAGGGUAUGGCUGUUCGCCAUUUAAAGUGGUACGCGAGCUGGGUUUAGAACGUCGUGAGACAGUUCGGUCCCUAUCUGCCGUGGGCGCUGGAGAACUGAGGGGGGCUGCUCCUAGUACGAGAGGACCGGAGUGGACGCAUCACUGGUGUUCGGGUUGUCAUGCCAAUGGCACUGCCCGGUAGCUAAAUGCGGAAGAGAUAAGUGCUGAAAGCAUCUAAGCACGAAACUUGCCCCGAGAUGAGUUCUCCCUGAGACUUAGAGUCUCCUGAAGGAACGUUGAAGACGACGACGUUGAUAGGCCGGGUGUGUAAGCGCAGCGAUGCGUUGAGCUAACCGGUACUAAUGAACCGUGAGGCUUAACCUUACAACGCCGAAG